rnacentral:rRNA from 1 species
AUUGAACGCUGGCGGCAGGCCUAACACAUGCAAGUCGAGCGGAUGAAGGGAGCUUGCUCCUGGAUUCAGCGGCGGACGGGUGAGUAAUGCCUAGGAAUCUGCCUGGUAGUGGGGGAUAACGUCCGGAAACGGGCGCUAAUACCGCAUACGUCCUGAGGGAGAAAGUGGGGGAUCUUCGGACCUCACGCUAUCAGAUGAGCCUAGGUCGGAUUAGCUAGUUGGUGGGGUAAAGGCCUACCAAGGAGACGAUCCGUAACUGGGCUGAGAGGAUGAUCAGUCACAGUGGAACUGAGCCACGGUCCAGACUCCUACGGGAGGCAGCAGUGGGGAAUAUUGGACAAUGGGCGAAAGCCUGAUCCAGCCAUGCCGCGUGUGUGAAGAAGGUCUUCGGAUUGUAAAGCACUUUAAGUUGGGAGGAAGGGCAGUAAGUUAAUACCUUGCUGUUUUGACGUUACCAACAGAAUAAGCACCGGCUAACUUCGU